rnacentral:tRNA from 1 species
CGGCGUGUAGCGCAGCCUGGUAGCGCAUCAGCUUGGGGUGCUGGGGGUCGUGGGUUCAAAUCCCGCCACGCCGACCA